CGAACGGGUGAGUAACACGUGGGUAACCUGCCCAUCAGAAGGGGAUAACACUUGGAAACAGGUGCUAAUACCGUAUAACACUAUUUUCCGCAUGGAAGAAAGUUGAAAGGCGCUUUUGCGUCACUGAUGGAUGGACCCGCGGUGCAUUAGCUAGUUGGUGAGGUAACGGCUCACCAAGGCAACGAUGCAUAGCCGACCUGAGAGGGUGAUCGGCCACACUGGGACUGAGACACGGCCCAGACUCCUACGGGAGGCAGCAGUAGGGAAUCUUCGGCAAUGGACGAAAGUCUGACCGAGCAACGCCGCGUGAGUGAAGAAGGUUUUCGGAUCGUAAAACUCUGUUGUUAGAGAAGAACAAGGAUGAGAGUAAAAUGUUCAUCCCUUGACGGUAUCUAACCAGAAAGCCACGGCUAACUACGUGCCAGCAGCCGCGGUAAUACGUAGGUGGCAAGCGUUGUCCGGAUUUAUUGGGCGUAAAGCGAGCGCAGGCGGUUUCUUA
rnacentral:rRNA from 1 species